CUCAAUUAUCCUCUUAUCAAAACGGUUGUCUAACUGCCGCAUUUAGUUUCAAUUCUCUCAUUUUUUUCUAUAAAAAGAACUUCAUACCUUGUUAUUAUUAAUCCAUUUAUUAUUUGCAAGGGGAUUUAUAUCCGCACAUCCAGGUGGUAGAACCACUUCUCUUUCACAAAUGGACUGGGGGAAAGACAGCAAGUUCGGAGCAGCCCGGGGCUGCGGAUCUAGCCUUUCCCCUGCAGUCUGCAGACCCGCUCAGGUCCAGGCAGCCCCGCGGAGACCGCGGAGCCCUGCGCGCCGCUCCGGCCAGAAAGCCAGUUGCUGAGACAGAAAGAAAACCCACUCCUUUGGAGGAGCAUGGCCUUUUCCUAUAUUGCUUCGCACGGCUGCCACUGAGCUUCUUGAAACCUGGCCCCUGGACACCAUCAGCAAGAAGACCUCGGGGAUGGGCUACCUACCCCUGAGAAAAGAACAGCAACUGCAGUUUCAACUAAAUUGCCUUCUUCAUUCAAGUAAUGGCUGCCAAUGGGGUCAGAUUAAAGACAGACCAGCUGAACAACUGCUUGGAGAACUAACUGAUAAGGGCACGGAAAUGUCCAUAGUGCGCUAACACAUCCAUGGAAUACAGAGAUGGAAAUAAUACCAGCACUUCUUUUAGGGCUGGAAGGAAUGGUUUAAUGAAUUCCUUAGGGGUGGGAAGAAGGGAGUAAUAAGAAUAUAGAGGAGAGUGGGGAUGAUUUACUGCAGGGCUCCUGUUUUUUCCUACUGGGAUAUAAAAAUUGGGAGCCCCAGCUGGACUGUUUGUAACCAUGGCGGUAGGCAGACUACCUUAGUGGUCCUUCUGCUUGGUUCUCCCCCAUGCAGAGCUCAGCAGGUCCUCUAGCAAAGACCCAGUAAGUAGUGGUUUGAAGGAGACCAAUUUAUUAGCCUACAUGUCUCUGUUCUGCACUCCAGGAUUUGAAAAUGAAGAGUCAUAAACUUCCUAUAUUUCAGUUCUAGGAUGUUAGCCCUUAAUGUCUUUUCAUUCACUUGGGGGUGAGAGUUGUUAACAGAGAAGAUCAAGUCAAAUGAAGCUUGAACUCUUUGCCGAAGGGUUGGGAGAUCAGACCCUGUGUUGAAUUAAUUAGAUCGUUGGCGACACCAUGUAGAGUUUGGCUUAAGAGUGAUAUUGCUGGCUAUUUGUAAAUGAGGACAUCAAGAAAUGUUCUUGGAAUCUUGAAUUAUGAAACUGGUAGUCAUGUUCAAUAAUUCAACAAGUAGUUAAAUAACAGCUGGACACUGUGGAGACCUAGGAGCAAGAUAGACAAGGUUCCUAUCUCAUGAAACUUACAUUUUUGCUUUCUCUUAAAUGUGAAGAGCAGUGGCCACAGCAAACAAGUGGCCAGAAAUAUAUUUUUGAGCCCCGGUUUCCAAUUAGUCAUGCCUAGAAGCCAUGCUAUUAUAAGACAUAUAAGCUGCAUUCUAGUAAUGCUCUGUGAACCAGCGUGGACUGUUUCCCUAGCAAGCAGUAUAAAGUCUCAUGGUGUCAAGGGAAGGGGCUCAGGUUAGGAAAAUGCUCCUGGGGAGGGAAAUAAGAAGGGACAGAAUUCACAGACCAGCUAUCAUGUUUUAUGUAGGAAAACUGCAGUGUGAGAAAUGUUGGGCUGGAAAAUUUGAGACCCAGGUUUUAGUCUUUAUUCUAAUGCUAACAAGCUAUGUGAUUGUGGGCAAGUCACAUCACAAUCCACUAAGAGGCUUCUUGGGUGACUCCAAGACCCCUUCAAGCUCUAAAAAUGUUAACACCAGGCCCCAGACUACUGGACAAUUUGUGGUUGCCAACUGUUUCUAACUCCUGUUCCUAAGCUGCCAGGUCAAGUAGAUCUGCACUUGACAGGCUUUUUUUUUUUUUUUUUUUUUGGCUGUUUAUUAACCUUGUAGGAUAUAAUGAGUCUGCCUUUCCCCUUUGGAGUUGAGAAGGUUCUAAUCUAAAACAUACCCUGUAGAGCCCAUAGCAGCUUCAUUCCCUCCUUCAUCCUUUCUUCUACCCCUGCCUUUCUUCCUCUCCUUUCCUUCAUCACAUUUCUACUAAGCAUAUACCAUGUGCUCUGUACCAGGUGUAUGAUAGGUUUGCAGAUCCAAGGAAACCUGACAUUUUCCUAUACUCCAGAAGCUUUCAUAGGAGAGGGGACACAAUCCUUCUUCCUUUCACUUGCUGGCCUUCCUUUCAGUGAGAAUCAGCCAUGACCCAAGGGGGUGAGCUGGUGGUACUCCCAGGGUAAUGAGCUACAGACGGAUGCCUCAUUCCACUCAAACUAUUUUGAGAUGCCUUAGGCCCAGGGUCACCAUGAAGAGAUCUAGGUCCAGAUAAAAGGAAGAGACAGUCUUUUACUUCUAGGGAUAUACAUCUGUGGAGGGACAGUCUUCCAUACAGUGAUGGCUACUCUCUAUCCCAUCUCCUGCACCCCAUUUCUGCCCAGGUGGGGAGAAUCUAAACUUAAAAAAACCCCUCUCAAUAAAUAAACAUCUUUCAUACAUAUUGUGCUUCAUGUAUCCAUUAUGGCUGGUGGCCUCUUUAAAAUGAAAAAACCCCCAACAGUAAUCAGACAAAAAGAUAUUGCUAUCAAUUCUUACCCCAACGUGAAUCCCAUGUAAACGACUUCUCAUUUUUGUUUCUUCCAUCAUUAACAAUUCUAUUUGACAUAUAUCUCUAAGUGCAGCAAGUUUAUAGAAAAAUAAAUCUAUGAAAUCUCUUAAUUAUAAUUGCUAACACAAACUGUUUGGUUUGAGAAUUUUACCCUGGGAAAUAGUUUUAGAGACUUCAAUGGCUGGCUUAAAUGGUGGAAUUAAUUACUUUUGACUCUCAAUUUCACUUCCCAUUUGAGGUCAAGGAGUGUAUGGAUACCUCUGGUUAAUGCCUAUAACUCUCCAUAGCCAACAGCUUUAAUUUUCUCUUUUGCUUUCAUUCUUUGCACAUGUGCAACAUUAAUAAAUGGAUUGAUUAGUGCUUCA